rnacentral:lncRNA from 1 species
GCUUGUGGACCUGGAGUGGGGGCACCAGCAAAGGCUGCUGUUACUGUCCAGCAGGCAGACUGCCUCCAGGCACACAUGAUGAAGCCUCAUGUUGUGGUUCUGGAACCUUUUAUGGGAUGUUGGCUUUUGCUGCCCCUGGUUAUCUCUCAAUUCUUUUGAUUGGCCGCCCUCAGGGCUUCUUUGUCCCUGGAACAACCAGGAAUCAACCACUGCCCAGCACCACUCUGGGUGGGGCUUGCUCCUGAGGCUGCUGGAAGCUGCAGGAUGCUGGCUGCUGUGGGAUGCUGGAAGCUGCAGAAAUGCUGGGAGGGUGAGAGGUGCCCAUCAGGGCUGCCUCUCCCAGCAGCUGCUCUUUCCUCCUCCGGGCCUCACUGUGUAGCAGCCAGUUUAGGUGGACUGGACCUUGCUGCAGCCCAAACUGGACCUGAUUGGUCGAAACCCAUCCAUGUCGUCCUAUCCUCGUCCCAUGGGGAUUUUCUUGUCUAGGAAAGCAGGUGCUGGAGCUGGUUAGGACUUGCUCGUGAGAGUCUAUCUUAGCAUCUUUUUCCAGCUGUGUUGCCAAGUUGGUAGCUUGUGGUCAACUGCAAAGUGAGCAUUUACACCACAGAAAUUGGCAGGUGCUACAGUCAGAGCUCUGCCAAAGCCACUCCCCGAGAGCUGGCUAACUGGCACACUUCUGACCCUCUCCCACUAACUGCGAUCAGGGCCAGGCAGCCCCAGCUGCUGCUGGCAGCCAUGCUUGGGCCAUCAGAGGAACUGCUGGUAGGACAAAGCAAAUGCCUGGGAAGACAGAGUGAAAAGAUAGCAAGAGCAUGGUUUUGGAUGAUAUUGUCUGAGCACACUGCACCUGUGGACUUUGGGGUGACAUUCCCCCCUUUACUUGAGAGCAUCCUGAAUGGCACCGCUUGGCAGCUGGGGUGGGAUAUUACCAGGGAAGGACCUUCAGCUCUGGGCCACUCGCUCGGGAGCAACGAGAACUCAUUUUUGAUAAAGAGAAAAUUUCUCCAGCCUUCAAGUGCUGCUGGAUGGUCCUUCUCCCUCCUCCUGCCUCCUGAGAGGGCUUCUGUCCUUGAAAGGAUCACUUCUCUGGCCUUUGAGAUGAAACUAGACCCUGCCAGCUCAGUUCCCAGACUCCUUGAUGCAAAAUUGGGAGGAUGGGAAGGAGUCAAGGAGAGGGCGGGAGCUGCCCUGCUGGGUUUGGGGGACUUUAGGGGUGGGGGGAGGAGAGGAGAGAGAAAGGAUGCCUGGAUGCUGACAGCCCAUGAGACAGCAGGAGAGGAGAUGCAUGCAGUGUCAUUUUCUGAGAACUACUAGUUGAGGAUAUUUUGAUGGAAUAAAAUAUUUUGGAUAUUUUGAGCCUGGCCCGGCGUAGAGUCUGAACAAGUGUAUCUUGUCUGAUCUUGGGCUCCACUCACGCCCCUGCCUGCUAGGGGCUCAGAUCUCCAGGGCAGAGGUGGCAGUGGAUGAGUUUGGGUGGCAUCUUGGCUUGUUCUCCUGGGAUCUGUCUAGAAACAAAAUGAUGGACCCAGGUAUUUAGGGAGCAACCACUCCACAGCUAUGGCAACCAAAGUGUUUGCUGUUUUUUUCUGGGAAAUCUCCCAACCCUAUUCAAGUACAUUUGUCUCUUCUGUACCAAAGAAUGUGGAGCAAAGCCGAAUGGAAGACCUGGGGAAAAUGGAGGACAACCCAAUUUUAGGAGCAUUUCGAGAAGCAAGGGAGAACCUGUUUUCCAUAGGAGAUCUCUGGGUGUCCACCAGCCAGCGCGUGGACAAAGCUGGAAGUUUGUCCAACCAGCCUUCCUCCAGCUGGUGUUUUGAGUCCUCAGGAGCUGUUUCUGGCCUUUAGGAAAAAAACCUUUUGAGAGUUCCCGUUGUGGCUCAGCGGGUUACAAACCUGACUAGUAUCCAUGAGGAUGCGGGUUCGAUCCCUGGCUUUGCUGCUGGGUAUUUCUGUGGUGUAGGCAGCAGCUGCAGCUCUGAUUCAACCCCUAGCCUGGGAACUUCCAUAUGCUGCAGGUGCGGCCCUAAAAAGCAACAAACACCUUUGCAGCCUAGCUCCUCGCCUAUUGUGCUGUGGAAGCUGAGUCAUGGUCCCCCUCCUGCUGCCUGAAGUGGGGUCUUUGACGGGUUCUCCUCUCUGUGCCUUUCUGUGGCAUCCGCUGGCAUCCUUCCUUCCACAGAUAGGCUUCUCUUCAUGGCUUCUGGACAUUUCUGUCUCUCUCUGGGCGUCUGGGUCUUUACUUCCUCCCCGUAGGUGCCUCUCAACCACUUCACCUUCUCCACCGUUCCAGCUGUCCCUUCUCUCUGCAGAGAGGGAGGAUAGCCCCGGGCAGUCGUGAGUUCAUACAUAGAAACAGUCCUCUCCCUAAAAACACACUGCGACUCUCUGCAGGGCUCGUAGAGAUUCUGGGACCAGGCAGAGCAGGGGUCUCAAAUGCCAGUGUCUGAAAGGGCCAGGCAGGUGCCUCGGCCGGGUGUGAGGCACUGGGGAGUAGAGGGCGCUGUGGUGACCUGGACCGAGGGGCUCCAUGGGAAGGACAGGUGGCCACUCAGCUCUAGCUGGCUGUUGUCAUUUGGGAGCAAAGAGGCUCAGCAUUGCCAGCAUCACCUUGCAGGGACCAUGAUGAGGAUAAAUGAGAGACACGGAGUACCUGACACCCAGCAGGCCACCAAUAUGCAUACAGAGCCUCCUUCUCUGGAAGCCUCUGAUCUUCUUCCUUGUGGAUCUUGCCCUCCUUCAAUGGCUGCAGUAGCUGUUAUACCCACCUGUGGUCCUGCUCAUCGUCCUUAAGUGACAGGAUGUAUUGGUCAGCUAUUGCCAUGUAACAAAGUGCCCCCAAACUCAGUGGAUUAGUAAUUUUAUGCUCAUGAAUUCAUGGGUGGGUUGGACAUGGCUGAUCCAGCUGGUCUGGGCUGCUCAGACUCUGUUUCUGCUGGGCAAGCCCUACGUGCCUCUCAUCCUCCUUGGGCUCGUGGGCCAGCUGGGGUGUGUGUCUAUGACAGAGGCACCAGAGUGUGCGCAGGACACAUGAAGCCUCUCAGGACCCGGCUGAUUGGCACUUCCACCACUGGCCAACGCCUAAGACGUGAGCAAUCUCAAGUCAAGGAGCAGGAAAGUGCCCCCAUCCAUGACCCAGCCACAGCAAGCUGGGGUUGGCACUGACACUUCAGUCUAUGGGAUGGACGGGCAGCCUGGUUUGGGUCGGUGCCUCAUUGCAGUGGCUGGCUCUGUGGGGCACAGCCCUUCCUGAGAGGUCCUGGGACCCUGCUGUGAGCCAUUGCUGAGACAAGUGUUCACACAGCCCAGGUGAAAUGGGUUAGCAAAUGGUUAGAGUCAGCUAUUCCGUGUGUGUGUGUUGGGGGUGGGGAGAGAAGGACACACCUGGUCCCGCAGUGCAUUCAGUAGGCGCCUACUCAGUGUUCAAACAAGGAACUUAAGUCUAAGGCCAGAAGUCCUAUCUUCUGGAGUUCCGUGGCUCAGUGGAAAUGAAUUUGACUAGGAACCAUGAGGUUGUGGGUUCAAUCCCUGGCCUUGCUCAGUGGGUUAAGGAUCCGGCGUCGCCAUGAGCUGUGGUGUAGGUCACAGACAUGGCUCGGAUCUGGUGAUGCUGUGGCUCUGGUGUAGGCCGGCAGCUGUAGCUCCAAUUAGACCCCUAGCCUGGGAACCACCAUAUGCUGCGGGUGCGG